AGCAGCCGCGGUAAUUCCAGCUCCAAUAGCGUAUAUUAAAGUUGUUGCAGUUAAAAAGCUCGUAGUUGAAUUUCGGGAUCAGCGCGUCGGUCGUGCCUCCGGUAUGCACUGGCGCCGCUGGUUUCUCCCUUCUGAGGAACCGUGAUGUCAUUAAUUUGGUGUCGCGGGAAUCAGGACUGUUACUUUGAAAAAAUUAGAGUGUUUAAAGCGGGCACGCGCUUGAAUACAUUAGCAUGGAAUAAUAAAAUAGGACGGUGGUCCUGUUUUGUUGGUUUCUGAAUCACCGUAAUGAUUAAUAGGGAUAGUUGGGGGCAUUAGUAUUCAAUUGUCAGAGGUGAAAUUCUUGGAUUUAU
rnacentral:rRNA from 1 species